GGACGGCGUCCGCGAGAAGAGCGACCCGCACAUCAAGCUGCAGCUUCAGGCGGAGGAACGAGGCGUGGUGUCCAUCAAAGGUGUCAGUGCCAAUCGCUUCCUGGCCAUGAAGGAGGAUGGCAGAUUGCUGGCCUUGAAAUACGCAACAGAAGAAUGUUUCUUUUUUGAGCGUUUGGAAUCCAAUAACUACAACACUUACCGGUCACGGAAAUACUCGGAUUGGUACGUGGCACUAAAAAGAACUGGACAGUACAAACCUGGACCAAAAACUGGACCUGGACAGAAAGCUAUCCUUUUCCUUCCCAUGUCUGCUAAAAGCUGA